rnacentral:rRNA from 1 species
UACGGGGGGGGCAAGCGUUGUUCGGAAUUACUGGGCGUAAAGGGCUCGUAGGCGGCCAACUAAGUCAGACGUGAAAUCCCUCGGCUUAACCGGGGAACUGCGUCUGAUACUGGAUGGCUUGAGAUUGGGAGAGGGAUGCGGAAUUCCAGGUGUAGCGGUGAAAUGCGUAGAUAUCUGGAGGAACACCGGUGGCGAAGGCGGGUCUCUGGGCCGAUACUGACGCUGAGGAGCGAAAGCGUGGGGAGCGAACAGG